ACAGGUAUCUUAAAAGCUUUGCUCACUCAUCCCUUCUCUGACUUAGGAUUUGAGCAUCUUUCUGUUAUGCUGUUGCCCCACUCCUAUUGCAAUACUCCCCUUCUUAAGAAAGUUUUUCUAGACUAAUGUCUAGAUUAAACUUCUUUUCUUUGACAAUAAUGAUGCCAUGACUUGGACAAAAUGCCCAUUGCCCCUGGGUCCUGCUUUCUUCACCCGGUGCUGCCUUAUUGGACUCUUUGUGCCUCUCCUUGGCUGGGGAAAUCAGAAUCCACAGUGGCAUCCCACUUCUAAGAUGCCUGAUCUGAAGGACAGUAAAACAACUGACCUUUUCCAGCAUGUCAAACCCAUGGUUUAACUAGUCCUCCAGGAACAACACUGAGCAAUCCUGACCUGGGACUACUUUACUCAGCCAUCUCUUACUUGAGAUUCUCCUUGUCUCUCUGUUCAAGGACACCUUUUCUGAGCCUUUCUUGAACAAGAGUGGAGGACUGAUAGGUUGGUUAAACUGUCCUUGACACAACUUUAGGUUGGUUUGCCUAAACUACUAGGUUCUCAAAUCUAUAUGAACCUCCUCCAGCAUUCUAAUUUGUUUGCUCUGUCUUAGACCCAGAAUCCCACCCCAUGUGCCUGACCAUAGACCAAUCUUCCUGCCUUAACUUAUCUGCUGCCAAUAUUUGACGUAGCCCAGUAAGUUUCAGCAUCAUCCCUCACCAUCCCACAGUCCCCCACCCUGCCCCCACCCCCGCCACACACACGUACAAGCUCUUAGCAUCAAACCCCCUUCCAUUUUCCAUAAGCAUUUCUCCCAAGGUCUCUGCAUAUAAAAGCUGUGUUUGCUCACCCCAUGCCUGACUCCCAAGGUCUCUGCAUAUAAAAGCUGUGUUUGCUCACCCCAUGCCUGAGACUUUCCUGGCUUAGAUCUUGAGCAUCUUUCUAAGAUUCUCCAUUAGUAAUGAUUUCCUCACUUAACUUCAGAUUUGUACAUUUUUUUUUCCUUGACAGUGCAAAAGAUACCAUUUAGGAUUUGAUUUUCAGAAGGUAAAAUAUAAAACAUUGUCAGGAAAUUCAAAUACUUAAUUAAGUAGGAAAAUGGAUUACUGAGAAAUAGUACGUGGUUAUCUAUUUAAUCAAAUGAUGUAAAAUAAUUUUAGAGUAGAUAUAGGAGGUAACAUAAUUGCAAAGAACUUUAUCUCUUUUAUAUGAAGACUGUUCUCUUAAAUAAUCAAGGACUCAAAAAAGUCAGCACAAAGCACAGAAAAUUAUUCUGAUGAGAUUCUGAAUGUUUAUCUUCUAAGCAGAUUACUCAGAAGGUAAAGAAAAAUAUUUUACAGGCUCUUAUUAAGAGAAUACACUAAUCCGAAAAAAUUAUUUUAAUAGAGAAUAAAACAAAUUCUAGUUUUGCAUCUGCAUAUUUGCUACUAACGCUUAUAUUAAACAUUUUGUAAACAAACCCAUUAAACUUCAGCCAGCUGUGACUAUAAGAAAUAAAAUUUCUUAUCCAUGAACCUUCUACAGCUUUCUCUAUCUAGUUAGGGUUUUGUAGGGUUUUGCCCUACACUUUCCCCUUUCUCAUCCUGGAAUAACUACUCAUUUUACUUCAGAAAAAAAUUACUCUUGUUUUCCUUAACAAAAAAAUAUCCUGCAUACCUUGCACUCAAAAUGUUCCUUUCUGCCACAGUCACUUCUACUAGAGUCUCAUUCAUCUCAUUGACAUAUAUUGAUUAUAACUUUUUUUUUUUUGAGUCAGAGUCUCGCUCUAUCACCCAGGCUGAGUGCAGUGGUGUAAUUUUGGCUCACUGCAACCUCAGUCUCCCGGGUUCAAGCAGUUCUCCUGCCUUAGUCUCCUGAGUAGCUGGGAUUACAGGCGUGUGCCACCACGCCCAGUUAAUUUUUUUAUUUUUAGUAGAGACGGGGUUUCACCAUUUUGGUCAGGCUGGUCUCAAACUCCUGACCUCAUGAUCCGCCUGCCUCGGCCUCCCAAAGUGCUGGGAUUACAGGUGUUAGCCACCGUGCCCGGCCUUGAUUAUUUUUAACUACAGUAACUCCUAUGGCAUAGAGAAAGCUUGGAGGUAGUAUAAAAGAAAAGUUACUGGUUAGGUAUUAAAACAGCCAGAUAGAUCUUAUUCAAACUGCUGCAGUAGGGGAGAGAGGUUUCUGUAUGGAACUGAGCUCAACUUCUAAUACAGCAAAGACAGUUGUGGAUUUAUAGCCAAGGAGUAGAGCAAGGAGGUAAGCAGAUGGAAAUUUACUAAGAACUUAACUAGAUAUCAAAGGUAGAGGGAUUCUUGCUAAACUGGCUUAAUAAAAUUAUUUUUAAUAAUAAAACUAUUAAUAAUAAAACUACUUUCUAAAACUAAGAUAUCCAGAGUAGAGAGUGAGAAACUUGAUCAAAUAUCCAGUAGUCUAAUACCAAGAAUUAGUAAAUUCUUGAUAAAUUCGCUAAGCAGGAAUCUUUACUAAAACUGGGCUGGGCAGGCCAAGGUCAAAGUCUACUUAGGAAGAAUGCUCCAAGGAGCCUAACUCAAGUUUGGUCAAGGGAAGAGUCUUUUGCAGUGGAUAAUUGUGAACUAUUUUCAUACACACUAUUUCGUAGCAGACUAACAGAUCUUAGGAAUAUACAUCUCAUAAUUUUUGCAGUAAUAAACAUCCCUAUAAUACAACUCGCUGUAGCAAAAAAAUAAACAUGCUCAUGAACACACCCAAAUAUAUAGGCUCUCUGUAUUAUAUAAAAAAAAUAAGCAAAAAGUCUAUAAGCAGAAAAUUAUACUUAGUAAUGAAUGCUUCAGUAUUUUAUUAUAGUUAGAUAAUCCAGGUAUCUAAUGAAUGCCCAUUAAUUAACCAAGUUUAGCAUCAGCCAAAAGUUUUAUGUUAUCAAAAGAUCUUGGUCUUGAGCCAAGAUGACACACUAUAAAACGUAAUUAGUUACUUUUGAAUUAACAUUUGUCAAAAGAGUGAUUCAAUUUAACUAACUGCAAAUUUAUAUUUUUAUAAUUAUAAACAUAUAGUAAGUAAAAUGAUAGAUUAUUAAACCAAGAAACCUGUAUAAGCUGAGGAAGAAUGUGCCGAAGUAGAUUAAAAUGUAUGCUUGUGUAUUACCUAAUACUGAGAACUCAGAAGACAUAACUGUUUUAAUUAAACCAACAAAAUAAAGCUAGUCUCAUUUGCCAAAAUUUACCUAAAUUAUGUAACUUAAAUUGUUAGAAUAUUCAAGCUAGUAUCUAUAAGCAUAUUAAAAAUAGAAAUGCAAUUAUCUUAAUUUCCAGAAAUUUUUGAAUAUUUCAUUUAUAUAAGACCUUAGUUAGUUCUAAGUCAAUCAGAAAAUAGUACCUUUAAAAAUUUUGAUAAUCUAAUUUAGUAACACCAUCUGGAGGCAGGAAAACAUUACAUACCCACAGACACAUAAAUAUACAUACAGAUCUAGAGAACUAAUCAUUUUAAUUCUAAAAUCUCAGCCAUAGACAAGGCAUAACACAGAAAUACAUAACUCACUUGUUUCUAUAAAAAGGGCUCUUUUCAUUCCACUGGGUAGAAAUUCUUGAUUGAGUUCAAAAUAGAGAAAAAAAUAGACAAACAAAAAUAACAAACCCAAUUUUCUGGCAUCUUUCUGACCUAACAGAGACACAAUAUCUGCAAACCAUUUAAUUCAUUUACAGAGAUUACCAAGUGACCACACCCACACACACACACACAAAUCCAGCACUAGAGAUCAACUGCAUACUCAAUGAAAAUUAAAUUCCUACCAUGCUACCAACAGACAAGAGUCUGGAGCAUUGAAUUAGGAAUAGGGCUCACCUUUAGGUCCCUGUAUUGCCAGUCACAAAUGGAGCACAAAGGCUCCAAGUGUCCUUAUUACCUGGGUGGAGCAGAUGGAGAUCUGAAGGCAUGGUCCCAUUUUGAGUCAUGGCAGCAAUCCUGUCAAAGAAACAGACAAGUUAAAAGAUUGCUUUUAUUUAGGCUAUUGCAAUAGGGAAACCACCGUUAUCUGAAGAUGAUGGGAAUGACUCAGCCUCUUAGGCAGUUUGACUUUUAUAGGGAGGGGUAAACAAAUGCAAAUGAUGUGGUUUAACACUGUGGUCAGUUGCAAACUGCAGAUGUCACAGUUUGUUAACUUUCCAAAACAUUUGGGGAUGUUUUUCUCAGUAGUGGUUGUGGUUUUUCUUAGUAAGCUUCGGAGAGCAGAGAUAUUAUCUCAGCUAAUCAGCUAUGAGACAACAGGAUGUAGAUUUUUUUGCUUUGUCAGCAGGUUUUGUCAGCAGAUGAAAGGGGACAGUUUGUGGUAGGUCUUGUCACACUUGACCAAAGAUCUUCUAGAAGAGUUUCACACAGAGAUAACAUCAAACAGAAAAACCAGAAACAGGAAGGGGGCUGUGGUUGUUCCCGCCCCCACCCCCCACCCCAAGUAAGGCUAAGAGGUUGAGGCAUACCUCCUUGCAGCCUAGCUCACUUACUUGCAUAUGAUGCACUUCCUUCCCGUGCCUGCCUGUCCCAACCCCACCCCACCUUCUUACACGUAGCCUUUCUUGCCCUGUGAAUACCCAUUUCUACACCUCUCUAUUUGCACUCAUGCUGACUCAAUCAGUGUGUCACCUCAUCCCUCCAAGGCUACUGUACUACCUUCCAAAAUGGCUGCCUUCCUUCCACUCUUUUUUCUCACAAUUUAGUUUCCACAGAGAAGCUAGAAUGAACAAAAGUGAAAAUCUGAUUUUUGUUACCAACCUGUUCAAAAUUUUUCUGUCUCUCCCUAUUGCCCUUCAAGGAAAGCCUAUGCUACAUAGCACAACAUUCAAACCCUUCAUGUUCCAGGUCACCCCCUUUUUUUGCCAGCCCUUAGCCAACUCUACAUUCCAGCUGUGCAGGACCUCCAGCUGCUUUCCUACACCCCCUGCAAUUCUCCAUGUCUAGGACUUUGCUUGUGCCUUUUCUUCCACCUCCAAUGCCCUCCCUCCAACUGGCUAAGUCCCAAUGUAUGUAUAUGAGAAUUUAGAGGAUACCUCUUCUGGAUUUAUCCCAGGCCCCAGCUUCAGCCCCCAGCCUUCCCUACCACCUUGAAGCUGAGUCUGGCUGAAAUUCCUCUAUUCCCUACCCUUUCCAGUCACAACUUGUUUAGCAAGUUCCUCCUUCUUUUUCUGUCUCUGCAGCUAGACCAGGAGCUCCCUGCAGUUCAAGACCAUGUGUUCUCUGAUGCUUUCUCAUGGCAAGGGGAGACAUAGGGUUGCAGUAGUGAGUGGGCAUCUGUUCUCAGAAGGCAGUGCCUGGAGCACUAUAAGUACUUAAUAAACUCUUGUGAAAUUAAAAA
rnacentral:lncRNA from 1 species